rnacentral:rRNA from 1 species
UACGUAGGGGGCAAGCGUUGUCCGGAAUCAUUGGGCGUAAAGGGCUCGUAGGCGGUCUGUCGCGUCGGGAGUGAAAUUUUACAGCUUAACUGUGAACGUGCUUUCGAUACGGGCAGACUGGAGGCAUGCAGGGGAGAACGGAAUUCCUGGUGUAGCGGUGAAAUGCGCAGAUAUCAGGAGGAACACCGGUGGCGAAGGCGGGUCUCUGGGCCGAUAUUGACGCUGAGGAGCGAAAGCGUGGGGGAGCGAACAGG